GAUGAACGCUGGCGGCGUGCCUAAUACAUGCAAGUCGAGCGAACAGAUGAGAAGCUUGCUUCUCUGAUGUUAGCGGCGGACGGGUGAGUAACACGUGGGUAACCUACCUAUAAGACUGGGAUAACUCCGGGAAACCGGGGCUAAUACCGGAUAAUAUUUUGAACCGCAUGGUUCAAUAGUGAAAGACGGUUUCGGCUGUCACUUAUAGCUGGACCCGCGCCGUAGUAGAUAGUUGGUAAGGUAACGGCUUACCAAGGCGACGAUACGUAGCCGACCUGAGAGGGUGAUCGGCCACACUGGAACUGAGACACGGUCCAGACUCCUACGGGAGGCAGCAGUAGGGAAUCUUCCGCAAUGGGCGAAAGCCUGACGGAGCAACGCCGCGUGAGUGAUGAAGGUCUUCGGAUCGUAAAACUCUGUUGUUAGGGAAGAACAAAUUUGUUAGUAACUGAGCAAGUCUUGACGGUACCUAACCAGAAAGCCACGGCUAACUACGUGCCAGCCGCCGCUGUAA
rnacentral:rRNA from 1 species